rnacentral:rRNA from 1 species
CGCCUAACACAUGCAAGUCGAACGCAGUAGCAAUACUGAGUGGCAAACGGGUGAGUAUAAUGUGGGAAUCUGCCUUUUGGUUUGGAAUAACACGGGGAAACUUGUGCUAAUACCGAAUAAGCCUUUACAGGGAAAGUUUUAAUGCCGAAAGAUGAGCCCGCACUUGAUUAGCUAGUUGGUAAGGUAAAAGCUUACCAAGGCAAUGAUCAAUAGCUGUUCUUAGAGGAAGACCAGCCACAUUGGGACUGAGACACGGCCCAGACUCCUACGGGAGGCAGCAGUGGGGAAUCUUGCACAAUGGGGGAAACCCUGAUGCAGCGAUGCCGCGUGAGUGAAGAAGGCCCUUGGGUUGUAAAACUCUUUCGUCGGGGAAGAAAAUGACUGUACCCGAAUAAGAAGGUCCGGCUAACUUCGUGCCAGCAGCCGCGGUAAUACGAAGGGACCUAGCGUAGUUCGGAAUUACUGGGCUUAAAGAGCUCGUAGGUGGUUAAAAAAGUUGAUGGUGAAAUCCCAAGGCUUAACCUUGGAACUGCCAUCAAAACUUUUUAGCUAGAGUGUGAUAGAGGUAAGUGGAAUUUCUAGUGUAGAGGUGAAAUUCGUAGAUAUUAGAAAGAACACCAAAUGCGAAGGCAACUUACUGGGUCACUACUGACACUGAGGAGCGAAAGCAUGGGUAGCGAAGAGGAUUAGAUACCCUCGUAGUCCAUGCCGUAAACGAUGUGUGCUAGACGUUGGAAAUAUAUUUUUCAGUGUCGCAGCGAAAGCAUUAAGCACACCGCCUGGGGAGUACG